CUGUCAUUCACUUGACUGUCAUUCAUCUGAUCUGUCAAACAGGUUAUAUCCUCAACACAUCUUAGACAGAGAGUGCCAUCAACAGUUCCAUUUGGACCCUGUCCUUUAGUGCGAUGGCUACUUUCAGUGGCUUUCAGCUCCUGAGCCUAGCUUAAAGGUUAUAUCCACAACACAUCUCUAGAAAGACAGCGCCAUCAACAGGUAAAGAGUAAUAACACAAUUACCAUACAUUACAUUAACUGUUACAUUACAUUAACCAUGCAUAAUUAAUUUUUUAUGGUG